rnacentral:rRNA from 1 species
UACGUAGGGUGCGAGCGUUAAUCGGAAUUACUGGGCGUAAAGCGAGCGUAGUCGGUUAUUUAAGUCGGAUGUGAAAUCCCCGGGCUCAACCUGGGAAUUGCAUUCGAUACUGGAUAGCUAGAGUUCGGCAGAGGGAAGCGGAAUUUCGGGGUGUAGCGGUGAAAUGCGUAGAUAAUCCGAAGAACAUCAGUGGCGAAAGCGGAGCUUCCUGGACCAGAACUAGACGAUUCAGGCCUCGAAAGCGUGGGGGAAGCAAACAGGGAAUUAAGAAAACCCGUGGGUACAGUCC